CAUCAGACAUCUACAUACGUAGGUUACCCUGAUUAGCAUAUAGUAUAUAUACACAGCAAUCAAGAGUUUUAUAUACGUUGUCUCUUAUUUUGUUUGACGAUAAAUUUAUUCAAUUCUCAUCAACGCCUAUCUCUCUGCCGAAAGGCAGCUCCAUCCACUCUGCAUCGAAUCGCAUGAAGGUGAUGACUAAAGCCUGCUCCAAGGUAUAUAUCUUGGUGUCUUUGGCU
rnacentral:lncRNA from 1 species